rnacentral:rRNA from 1 species
GUGGGGAAUAUUGGACAAUGGGGGGAACCCUGAUCCAGCCAUGCCGCGUGUGUGAAGAAGGCCUUUUGGUUGUAAAGCACUUUAAGCGAGGAGGAGGCUACCGAGAUUAAUACUCUUGGAUAGUGGACGUUACUCGCAGAAUAAGCACCGGCUAACUCUGUGCCAGCAGCCGCGGUAAUACAGAGGGUGCGAGCGUUAAUCGGAUUUACUGGGCGUAAAGCGUGCGUAGGCGGCUUUUUAAGUCGGAUGUGAAAUCCCCGAGCUUAACUUGGGAAUUGCAUUCGAUACUGGGAAGCUAGAGUAUGGGAGAGGAUGGUAGAAUUCCAUGUGUAGCGGUGAAAUGCGUAGAGAUCUGGAGGAAUACCGAUGGCGAAGGCAGCCAUCUGGCCUAAUACUGACGCUGAGGUACGAAAGCAUGGGGAGCAAACAGGAUUAGAAACCCUAGUAGUCC